AGCAGCGUGGCUCGGUGGAAAGAGCACAGGCUUUGAAGUCAGAGGUCAUGGGUUCGAAUCCCGGCUCUGCCA
rfam:Ornithorhynchus anatinus chromosome 3, whole genome shotgun sequence.